UACGAAGGUCCCGAGCGUUGUUCGGAAUCACUGGGCGUAAAGGGAGCGUAGGCGGCAUGGUAAGUCAGAUGUGAAAUCCCGGGGCUCAACCCCGGAACUGCAUCCGAUACUGCCUUGCUUGAGGGUUGGAGAGGUGACUGGAAUUCUCGGUGUAGCAGUGAAAUGCGUGGAUAUCGAGAGGAACACUCGUGGCGAAGGCGAGUCACUGGACAACAUCUGACGCUGGAGGCUACGAAGGCCUAGGGGAGCAAAAGGG
rnacentral:rRNA from 1 species